CUUCCCCUUCCACAGGUUGUUAGCUAAUCUAACGAUUUUUCUAAAAGUCUGGAGAUGUAACAGUUGAUAAGCUACCAAUGUAUUGCAGAUUUUCUUUUUCUUUUUUUGUGACCUUUUUAAAACCCACAAUUAAACCAUAAAAAGAAUCGCGGUGUUAAAGUUUGUGUAAUAUGCAGCUUCGGUCCUUGAAGCCGUGAAAAAAAAAAUGCUAAUACACCAGAGGUUUAACGGUCAGUUUUCAGAACAUAUCCGUGGAGUAAUAAUGACAAAAUGGACGGUGUGGGUUUGGUUUCAUCUGAGCGUUAAUGAGAGCACAGUGAGACCUUUACAUUUUGGUUCGUGGCCAGAACAGCUGCAACCUGUGCUCAAUGCUAAGUAUUAAAAAGGCRGCCUGACUCCUGUAAACCAGCCAAACUUAACUACUGACAUAACUAUUUGGCAGAGAUGAGAAGUGUUGACAUAUCUUUGAUAUGCAGCUAAGGUCAGUUUGGGGCGAUUACUCAUCCCCGGGAGUUAGCCGUUUCACACCGCAGCGAUGCGUCAGUGUCCUCAGCUCGUUAACUCGRCGGCUCAUCUCGAUAAAACAAUUACCUCGUCAAGAGGAGAUGAGGCCUCCGGCGUGUCAGUGGCUGACACUGGACGAAGCCGAGCCGCCGAACGCUGAUCUCACGUCCCCUGAAGACGCUUUGAUUGUCAUAAUUGCUCCACUCAGAAACACAUUAGUCACAUCUGCAGUCGAUUGCCAGCAAUAAAAGUGCCAGGGAGCAUUCGGCAGCUUGCUCGGACGGUCACGGAAAAUUAAUCAGCUCAGACAUUUAAUAUCUACCUCUGGCCUUUACCGCUGAGGACAUAAAUACACGGAUACUGAUAGGGAGGAAGGAGAAGUGGGGAGAGGGGGCAUUGGUGUUUUCUUUUGAAUUGAAAUGGAAAGACACCAUGCAAACGGAGAGGCAGAGUAACGCAGAGGAUACAGUGGAACCCCMGAGGACUUUUCACCAGAAGGAAAACCCAUCCUCAAAAAGAGACAUAAAAGUACAGAUGAGCUGCAAAGACAACUCGACCAGCUCCCACACAUCCUCAACAUGUCUGGCUCUUCACAAAAGCAUCACGUGGCGAUGUGCCCCUGCACGCUGCUGUGCCGGAACAGAGGGCGAUUUAAGGUGCAAGGCCCAAAACAAACUCAGAAAAUCCUCCAUUCACGAACAAACGAGCUGAUUCCAGCCAAGGAAGCCUAACGCCUUCAAUAUCACAACUUUUAUUAAGAAUCGGCACCUGAAAUGUUGACCUAUAGAAAGUAUGCCCAUGUACAGCACAGUACAAUAUGUGGCUUUGCCCAGGGCGCCGCACAGUAUGAGGUGUCAAAAGAUCAAGAAAAUUUUCACCUGUUUAUCAGGAAAUAUUUGCUUUGUGCCAUUAUCAUUUGAUACUUAAUAAAGAGUUGUUUCUUUGCA